UAUUGACAGCUGACUUCUAAUGAAAGAAAACACAGAAAGCACAUUUACCCAGAUGAUGUUGAAUCUAUAUUGUAAGUAAGAUUCCCCAUGUCAGGUCUCAGUUUUGAUUACAUAUUAUUCUUAUCUCAUUAGCAUUAGUCCUAAGCCAUAGUGAUGUCUAAUAAGCUUCUCCUGCACACUAUGCAGUUUUAAGAACACAAGUCUAGAUAAUUAAAUUAAAUAACAAUUCAAUCAUCUAUGGUUUUAUUUAUCAUCCCGUAGACUCUUAGGACUGACAUCCUCUCCUCAGUGACUGCUUAUGCGUCAUAAUAAAUGGUUUUUAUAGCAGAAAGGUAAAGAAGACUUUUCCCUAUUAUAUGAGUAUACAAGUAAAUAGUGCAGCAAAAAUCUUUAGGUAAGAGAUUAGAUACAUAUAGAGUGGGUCCAGAGGAGGGCCAUGAAGAUAGUCAGAGGGCUGGAGCACCUCCCUUAUGAGGACAGGCUGAAAGAGUUGGGAGAAGACUCUGAGGAAACCUAAUAGCAGCCUUCCAGUACCUGAAGGGGGCCCACAGGGAAGCUGGGAAGGGACUUUAUAAGGGCAUGUAGCCACAGGACAAAGCGAAAUGGCUUUAAAUAGAAAGAUGGUAAAUUUAGACUAGAUAUUAGAAAGAAAUUCUUUACUGUGAGGGUGGUGAAACACUGGAACAGGUUGCCAAAAAAGGCUGUGGAGCAUUUAGAUCCAGGCUGGAUGGGGCUUUAAGCAACCUGAUUUAGUGGGAGGUAUUCCUGCCUAUAGCAGCGGGGUUGGCACUAGACGGUCUUGAAGGUCCCUUCCAACCCAAUUAAUCUAUAACUGCGGAAAUAAUUAUCUGGGAUAAACUGAGAGGUUUGAAGACUUCUGACAUAAGGGAAGGAGUUAGAUGUAUACGUAGGUCAUACUCGUGCUAAGCAGGGCAUUUAGAAGAACUGACCAUCUCACUGCAAUUUUAAACCACAGGCAAAUUAAAAUUUAUGGCUCAAGGGAAGAUUGAUGAAGGAGCUUAUGCAAAAAUAAUGAUGAGAAAGGGAAAGGGGAUAAACUGAGAAAGCUUAAUAUUCUUAGGCAAUUGAAGCAUGAAAAUAUCUAAUAAGUCAAGCAAGAGAAGAAAAUGAAGUAUUGCUGACUUUUGGACUUUCAACUAUUACAUAAAUAUGAGAAAGAACAAUACUUUAAAAAGAGUGGAAACACAAAGCCCCAGUUCUGUCCAUCAGCAAUGUAUGGCAGUAUAUAUGAUUAUGUAUUAGAAGAAAAAUAGAAAAAAGAGUAGCAGUACAAUUUAUACUUGGUUGACGGAUGGUCAAAGUUCAAGGAAGUGCAAUAAGGAGCUUUGCAAUUUGACUCUGAUACUUUUUCAAAGUAUAUAGAUUUCCCAGGGCAAGUUAUCUCUGCUGAAUGGUAAGAGUAAUUAGCCUGGACUCAGCACAGUUCUACUAUAAGUAUUUGAUUCUUUUGUUUGCUUCUUUAUUUUGCUUUGGAGCUUGUUCAGAGAUUUGGUGCUUUGUGGUGCUAAAUUGCACUUCAUGAUCAUGCAUACAAAGCACAAGAUUUACUUGGUUGUCUUUCUCUGCAUAUGAGCUUGCAUAAUUAUUUAUUCAGGCCGAGGUUUGUUUUCUUGUUGAGGUUGUGUUGGCUGAGGGUGCUGCAUGUUCUUUUAGUUGAGAGAGCUUUCAUUAGCCAUUACAAUGCAUUUAAGUGCAAGAACCAUUUUGAUGAAUUCAGAGAAAUGCAAAUGAAAGUUGCUCCAUAAGAUAGAAAAUUGCUCCGUAAAAACAAAUUCUUUUAUAUCACUGACUUUUAUAUCAGUGGCCUAUUACCUGAUUGCAGAAGAUAAGCUCUAUUUUACAAGGGGGUAGGUUUACAGAACUCUAAAGUAAGUUUUGCAAUUAUGUGCUUAAGUAAACAUUGAAUUACCAUUCCAUCUCCAUUGUUGACACAGUGGUAAUACAGAUGAAUUGUAAUGCAAAAACUAUAGGGUGUUAGCCAUAUAAAUCAAAGUCAUUCCAAAAAAUGUGUUUGGUUUAACUUUAAAUAUACUUCCAAGUACCAAAAGAUAUGUAAAAUUCAGAUGGAUUUUUUCAGAACAAGCAACAUCUUCUAUGUGCAUUAGCUGCUACAUCCUUUCUGUCACAUGAGACUUGUGGGUGAACAGCAGAAAUAAGAACAAUUGAAAAAAAAUGCCCUGUAUGAGUAUGGGGUUUUCAGAUUGUCCAUUUAAGUGUUCUACUUUUACAUGAAUCCAGAGGAUUUAUAUCUACCAACCAUGAGUCAAACUCCCUGCUUGUUUUCAAAAUGUUAUCGCAUGGCACAGGAGCCCAGAUCACAGUUCUUAGUGAAAUAACUGAAUUCUCACUACUUAGUUACCUGUUUCCCCUACAAAUCAGUGGAAGCUAUAGGUUGUGCAGUUAGCCUCUCUAAAUCUUCCCCAGCUACACAGUAUAGAAAGCAAUCCUUCCACUCUUGAAUUCACAUUUUAUUUGCUGAGUGGGAGAUCGUAUCUGAAGUACACAUGUUCACCUAGAAAGGAGUAGUCAUGUUCUUCCCUCUACAUAUACACACAGGGAAGACAGACUGCAUUUCCACUUCACUCCACUGUAUAUUGCUUCUUGAGUUACUAGGUUUCCUUGUUUGCUAGUGGAAGAAAAAGACAAUUACACACUUAAAGUAACCACCUUAAUCAAAUCUUAAUUGGCAAUAAUACAAAUAAAGCAUAAGAAAAAACAGCUUUUUUUCCCCAGUCCGUCUUGAUUUCUUUGAUGUGUAGAUUCUGGAGUUUUUUUGGCUUGAAAGCACCUCAUCUCCUGAGCACAUUUUUGGAGAUAUAGAAAGUCCUUGAUUAUUAGAACUUAGGGUAGAAAAAUUACACUUGGAUAAGCAUGACUUUCAAGGCUUACACUUAACGCGGUGUUUUUUCUAUAAUCCUGCAGAAUGGCAAGCUAAAAAUAGGGCAAAAGAUUUUUUUGUAUCUCAAUUCAAAGCAAGAAAUAACAGAAAUAAUGAGUUUAGUUUUAAAAUAAACCAUUCUUUUCCUCAAUUUGCAAUUUGAUUAAUUUUUAUGUUCAGAUUCACAUUUAGGUAACACUAAAUACUGGGCUGUGAAAAUGGUUAACUGUAGAUUACAGUCGUGGUGGGACACAUCCUGUGUUCUUAACAGAUAGUUUUUUGAUUGUACUUAAGCUUAAGAUUUAUACAAAUGAACCUGACAAUUCAGGCCUUAGUUCUACAGUCUCAAAUUCAGUAGGAUUUUAUUUCUUUGGCUGAAACUGAUUCAGCUCAAUAUUACUUAUCUAAACACCUCAGUUAGUCCCUCUUGGUUGCCCUUAUCAGGAAAUAGCUUCUUGGAAAUACGACAGGAAUAUCUUUUUACAGUUCUUCACUGGGAAGAGGUCCCUUUCAACCUCAGCGAUUCUGUGAUUCUAUGAAACAACAUUGUGAUCAGAGCACUCUUCUGGAAACAGGAAACAGAAUCCAUUUAUUGCUAGUGAUGAAUUGUUCAAAAUAGUGUGUCCUAUUUCUGUGAGGAAAAUCCAAACACGACAUGGGAGAAAUGUUCUUUUGCUUAUUGUAGCUUGUCAGUACAAAGCAUCCAGAGUAAGGGAGAUGAGACCAGAAGUUUCUUUUCUCUGCUAUGAGAAACAAAGGAAAUUUUAGUUUCUGUAUUCACCUUCUCUUUAUGCAUCGUAUACAGGGACUGGCUAUUGUAAAAAAGUCAAGAUUUGUAAGAUCAUCUAACAGCCAUUGUUAGAAAGACAGCUGUACCUGAAAACUUCAGACAGAUUUUCAGAUAUAGCUCUUUUCAAAUCUAAAGCAGAGACAACAAAUACCAGUUAAAUAGGACCAAAUGCCCUGGUUCUAACCAUGCUGUGUUAAACUUACACAGUUUAGGGGAUACUGAUGAGAAAUUCAGGUUUGUGAGAGAGAGGGGUGGUUAGUAGAGGUGGGAGAAAUUGCUAUGGAUACAAGAGACAGUUUUUCUUCCAAUUGGUGCAAUUUAGUUAGAUUUUUUUUUCUCCUAUACUUGCCUUAAAAGUGUCAGUAAGUGCUUUUGGAGGUCCAGCUGUGAGGCUCUGGCUUGAGGUCCUGCUUGGCUGUGUAGAACCAUUUCUGUGCUACCCCUAGGACUGUGCUGUUGUGACUAGGACUGUGUAGUGAGCAGUGUCAGAGGAUACUGCUGAGAUGGAAACAAAAAGACAGAGGCAGACAAAAAAGCGGCAAUGGUGGAGGGGGCCUGGGUACAUUUUAAGUCAUGUAAGUGCAGAAUUGAGAUCUGAGAGGUCAGCAAUGGUAUGAUUGCUGCUUGAAGACUGUUCUUCUGGUAGGCAUCUGUUACUUUGGUUGCUCCAGUGGGCUGAAACUCUUUGAUGCUUAUAGUACUUAGUCAUUAUAUAAAACAGAUGUAUUUUAUUUUCUUGAGGAAUGCUGGAAGCCAGUCAGGAAUCAAAGUAUGCAUUUCUAUGCAUUUCUCAUGAAAUGUGGGGGUUAUGUCAGAUCCUUGGAACAGAGGGAGGAAUGCAUGUUUUCUAUUUUUAGGAAGUUAGUCAUGCAUUAUUGUGACAACAAACACAGUAAAACUGUGUGAAUAACUGGUUUUAUCCAUUGGCAGAUGAUCCAAACCUAAAACAAUAUUCAGGUCAAUAUCUAGUGAAAAUUCAACAAGUCUCUUUGGUAAUUAUGUUACAUUUUUAUGCUAGUCACAUUUAGAAAACAUGAAAAAAGAAAGUUGGAAACAAAAGUGUGAGAUCCUGGGGUUCUGUUCAGAGAACAGGGAAGAACAGAGACUUGAAUGCCUUGGAAGUUCUCUCAUGUCAUUAGAAAGCAUUGGAGAAGGGCUGCCUCACUUUGUCAUCUCAAGCAUAUACUACCUCAUAACAAACAAGAGUGUUUCAAGCAGAAGUUAGAAAACCUCAUUGAGGCUCUUGCCUGUGGCCAGACCUGCUACACUUUUAUAUUCUAAUCACAGAGUUUGAAUAGAUGAUAAUACCAUACUUGGAGCAUAUGUUAUAUUUACUCCUAGUGGCUUGCUUACAAGUUUCCAGUCCUAAUGAAUGAAGUUCACAGAAGUAAUGAAUAUAAAGAGAGGAGGAAUUUAGGGAAAGAGGUUUUGAAUAUUUCUAGUUUUAUCCAGGAUGUAAAACCAGCUUUAUUUGACUCUCCCAGAAAGAAAGAAGCUUCUUGGCUUGUUCUGUAGGUGGCCAUAGUGCUACUUGCUAUAUAUUAUGGAGGAAAGCAAGAGCGACAUUUUGCUGUCAGAGCAUGUUUGAUAUAUAAUUCAGCUCUGACAAGAGCUGGCAAAAUACAUCAUAUUCUAGCAGGGCUUUUUCUGUCCCCGUGGAAGAGAUAAAAAUGGUAGGCAAUUUUACGGUACACUCUUUUUGCUAUAUAAGAUCUGUAUGAAACCCUCUCCAUGAAGAACCCUUAUGCUGUUUAUACAGUUAUAGGCAUGAUACAUAAAGGGAAUGACAAUGAAUUUCAGCUCUCUAGAUCAGUUUUAACUAUGAAUGCUUUAUAAUUUAAAAAAAAAAAAAAAGAAAAGCCAGGAAAUACUUUGGCUUAGUGCUAACUUAUACUAUCAGAAGAUGAAAUCUUCAAAAUACGUUCAGCUUUUAACAUACGAGUUGUUGACUUGAAUGAUUAAAAAUCCCCUAGCAAAUGUAAUUAAACUUUAAUAAUUAAUAGGCAGUUUUAUUUUUGUAAUUUUCCAAACUAUGAUAAGAAAAGUCUAUUCUCAGAAAGUUAAGUACAUAGAAUCUCUUUCAGUACCUGUACUAAACUUGUAAUUCACCUCAACUGAUUAAGAAUAUUUAUGCAAGAGCAGGACAGCAGCGAAUCCAUUUAGGUAAAACACUCCGAAUAACUGUAUGCUUAAGAUUAAGCUGGUAUCUAAAUGCUUGCUACAUCCAGACCAAAGAACAUAAUGAGAUAUUUAAUGAUAAUCUUCAGACUAGAACGUGAGAAAGAAGCAUUUGAUGCUGAAUGAAAGAAAGGGGUUAUUUUUGCUUUUCUCUUUUCCCUCCUCUCCAGCAGCUCAAUUUUAUUCAGUGCAAGUCAUCUUGCAGUGCAGGCUGUUCCCUGCAGGAUUUGCGGAAUUGUGAUGCUCAUGCUCUGUAUCCUGAUUAAAAAGCAAUAGGGCCACCCAAAGUUAAAGUUAAGGUAGAAUCUGAACAGUGAAAGUUAUUCUGAAAGAACAGAAGACAAAGAAAUAGAUAAAGGAUAAAGAAGAGAUGAGUGAAAAAAAGAAUAGAAAAGAGAAAAAAAGUAUGGGUCUGUGAGAAAAGAGAAGAAAAGGGGUGCAUGUGUAUUAAUGAUUACUCUGGAAGCAAAAGGAUAGUUUGUAAAAGAUCCCAAGAGAAAAUCAUUUCUUCAAACCUUCACAGCCAGCACUUUAGUGAAAGUAAUCGAUGGAGAUUUUCUUCCCUUCUUCCCUUUCUUCCUUCCUUUCUGUGUAAUAUGAAUAAGUUAUUAAUUCUACAGCUGUUUUUAUGAGUUUCUGGGGAAUUAGAAAUGAGCACAGCUUGAAGAACAUUGUAUAUACGUGAUUGCAUGGCUCUGGCAACAAAGAGGGAAUUGUAUCUCAUGUUCAGAAUAAUAGUUUUAUGCCAUAAGAUAUAGAUAAUGAAAAGGAAUUAAGAUGAUGAUUUAAUAGCCUUUAAUCCUGGUGAUUGAAUAAGUGAGGUGAUGUCUUGCAAGGCAAGGAAUGACAACAGAAUAUGCUCACUGUAAUUCCUGAAUGGAUGUAGACACUUCAGUCUUUGAUAGCACUUUCAUGUUUGUUUUUCCCAAGUUACUGCAUUAAAUGCUGUAAAAGCAACUGAAUAGCAAAGAGCGUUGUAACAAAAAAAAAGUAUAGUUUAUCUUGAGAGAGAUGAGAAAGAUUAAGUGUUAGAAUAUUACACUGGGUAAAUGCCCAGUAAAAAGAGGACUGUAAUCACUGAUUGAGACCUCCAUUCAGUGAAAGUUAACAACAUAAUAAGAAGAAAUGCAGAUAAUUCCUGGUUUUCAUUUCUGCAACAUAGGGAUGGGUUAUUCUAGAGAGGCUGAAAUAAAAAGUCACUGGCAGAAUGACUCACUGAGGAGUAACUUUGAUGUAAAUGUCUUAUUCUGAUCGUGUCAGAGGUUUAUUAAACAAACAAGACCCUGACAAGGAGGAGUGCCAAUGACAAAUUUUUGAUUUGUCUUUUGAAAGACAAAUCCUGUAUUUUAGUUGGAAAUAUCCACUACCAAAUGGAUCUUUUCAUUAGUUCAGUUCCCUCAGUGGAAAACUAUGAAAAGCAGGUUAUGUGCAUGUGUAAGAUCUGUGUAUAUGUUAACUAUCUCACAUAAGACUAGCAUGGAUCCUAAUUUCUGUUUUAUCACAGUAGAGGAGAAGACAGGUGCAUUCCUUCUACAUGUAACUGAAAAAUGUUCUUAGGCUAUCAGUUUUGUCAUUAGAGCUCAAUUUUCCAUUUUGUCUCCACAUUUUCAUAGUGUUUCGCCUUCCAUAUUUUGCCAGAGGAGGAUCUUUUGUUGUGGAUAGAAUGGUAGUCGUAAUCUAAAAUUUUCAAUGUUGUGUUUGACUUUCAAGAAUUAGCAAAUUCUUUUUCUUAUGAAAUGUUCCUAAGUUUCUGCGUAUUUUCAUGCAACAUGUGUUUUGAGGCAUGCUACUUGCGUAGUAUAUAUAAACAAAAACUUGUGCAUUUUUGUUAAUGUUCAUGUGUAAAGUUAUUUAAUGUUUUCUUCUAUUUUAUCCAGGAAAUGCAUAUACGAUUAACUACGUGGAGUGUUCCAUAUCUCCUCUGAAACAGAUCAAAGAGAGGAUUGAUUUAGGUACAAGUGGCCCAGAGGGAAGAAACAGCUGAGGUGUAGUACCUCUUUGAAGAAAUAUCACAGACAACAGAAUUAACAUGGGCAACAAGACACAAUUUUUCACUCGUUUCAUUAACAUUGCAGAUAAAAAUAACUAUGCAAUUUUGAUUUUCAGCUCUCAAUCUGAAUUGUUACUGCAGUAUGGAUGGUAUAAAGAAGAUAAAUCAGGUGACCUUGUUCUUCAUCGUUUAAUGGUCAAAAACACACUAUUUAAGCAAAUAAAUAGUCUAGUUAAUUGCAUUUUGAAAUUAAUUGUAUCAUGUAAGCUAAAGAGAGAUUGGUAUAAAGCACACAUAUUAAUUUUGAGAUUCUCUUAAGUCACAUUUGUUUAGCAGACAGGUUUUUUUCACACGGGACGUGUCCAUUUGCUGCACUAUCUCAAACAAAGAACAACAUCUGAAUUUUUUAGAAGGAAAUAUAAACUCAAUAGGGAACAUUUAUUCCUUUACAAAGUGAUUUGGUUGACUCAUGCCCUGAAGAAUGACGGCUUGUAUUAGAUAACAGUAAUUAGUUAUAGCGAGUCAUUGUCUUUUAAAAAGAAAUAUCAUUUCUUGCAAGACAGAAACAUCCAAUAAAUAACCAAUCUGAGAGAGGACCUUAAAACAAAUCAAGGUCAAAUCAUGUUAUACGUUUAGAAAACUUAGUUUAUGGAAUACAAGUAAAAGAUUCUAUUUUUUUCUCUUAAAUGAAAAUGUGUAUCAGACAGUAAUGUAGUUCUUGACACAUAAAACUUGGCCCCCACAUCGGGAAUGUAUGUCGCAGACAGAUUGGAUGUUCCAUUGUACUGCCACUCCCAUUCCACUGGUUGCAGCAUUCAAUUUUUAUGUUCAAAUGUCAUUAUGAAACAGCUAUUUGUUUUGAGAAAUUACUAAAGAUGGGUGUAUUUUGCUCUCAGUUUUCUAACAGAAACACCGGAGAGUGGGAAUGGCAGCAGGAUAGGAGAUUGUUACAACUGGAGUAAUCCUUACUUGCAAAUUUCUUCUGCCUUUUGAUCUGCCAGCAAGUCCCUCUUCACAGCAGAUGCGAUUUCCAAUAUGUUAACAGCAAUGGAGAUCUCUGCAGAAGUUGAAAAUGAGCAGUACUGACACUCUAAUCUGUGAGGUUGAAGAGAGAUGUCUUGGAAAUUUGGGGUCCAAAAGAAACAGUCUGUUAGGGCCAUGGAGAAGAUUGCCCAGGACAUCCGAAGGCAUUAUUUUAUGCCAGUCAUCUGCAAGAUUUCUUAUGAUUAAAUUAAAAUGGUGAGCCAAAAAUUUCUCCACCAUUAAAACCACUUAAGAUUUCUUGUUAUAUGGAAGUUAAACAGAAGUCGUGAUUUCAAAUCUUUUUCAAGUCCAGUAACCUCCAGAGGGUGGAGCACCCAGACACCUUGAAGCUGAUCUAUUUGCUGACAACCUGAGAAACAGGAAGCCCUUUGUCUCUAAAAGUCUCCAAGAUCCAAAGGGGCUUCUCAAUGGAUUUAUUAACAGUGUGGCAGGGAUACAUGCAGAGAAGAAACUUCAGUGUUUCUGUGGUUUAAAAACACAGCACAUGGUGCUAUUUAAGAAACCUGCCCAAUAAAAUUGCUGCAAGUCCCGUUGUAAGAAGAUUCUGUAUGGAUUAUAGACCCAUUCAAAGCUCUUUCAUUAUAAACAUCACUGUUUCUAUGGUCCUCAGAAAUUUUUAUUCUUGAAAGAACCCACGUUUUUUUCACUCUGGCUGUAUCUCUACCACUGCUUACUCAAAUCAGUGUAGCUGAGGUCAUUUUGCACUUCUUGUCUGGGGUUGUCAAAUUUAUUUUCAGCCUUGUCAAGUUCAGUCUUUGCUUUUUUUCUCUGUGCUAAGGGGACAUUUAGUAUAAAAGUGCUUCUGUUGGCAUUUCUUCUUCUGUCCCCCUUUUGACAUAUUUUUGUGCCACAUAUUGCUCCGUGACUGCUCUUGGUUCAUUUUAAACCACAGACUAUUUUCUUUCUUCACUGUCUCUCUUACAACCCCUAAUGCAACCUUCAGGCUCCCUGUGGAAAAGUAGAUAUUUAUGGUAUUUGUUUGCUAUUCUUGUUUCAUCUGAAGUGAACUCAGAAAUUUUAUCAGAAUACCUUGAAAAAUAAAUUAUGCAAUGCUACAUACGGAUUAGGGAAAAGCAUGGUAGUUUCUCUUACCAGCAUUAAAAUGCUUCCAGUGGUACACUCUGUAUCAUAAAAACCAUUUCAUCAGCUCUGAUGACUUUAGAAAAACAAAAGCCAAGCACAGCUUUGAGAAGGAUUGAAAUCAAAAUAUUUUCAAGUCAUAUGCUGUGGAAUGGGGAAUAGAUAAAUCCCACAAGGGCACAAUUUCUGUACUUAUUAAUCCCAUAAUUUACUUAAGUUAAUAGCUACAUAUAGUCAAAUAUUAGUCCUCUCACUGAUAAGCAACUCACAAUUCAAUUUUGUCCUGGGGGCUCACUACCCAGAGUUAAAUUGCUGUAGAUAAAAUCAAUCAUAGGUAAAAUUUAAAAUGUCUUUAUUGAAAAAAAUUCAAAAUAAAGAUUAGGAAGUAGAAUGUAUAAAAACUAAAUGGAAAUUUGUUUCAGUGGUAAAAAUUCAUGGUACUGAUUACAGUAAUCACUUUGCUAUACCAUUGUAAACAGUUUCCAUUUAUUCGCAGAUGUGUUCACAGAUUGACCUGUAGAGUAAAAUUAUGCAGUUCUAUGCUUGCUUGUUUCUAUGCACUUACUGAUUUGUUGUGUAUUCACCAGGAAGCCCCCAGCACAUCUGUGGCUUUUAUAGCAUGUUGUGCUAAUCAGGGAAGCACUGCUCACUCACCCAAGCUUCUGCCAGGUGCAGUGGUUCAGAUCUUCAAAAUUUGGAAUAAGUUCUUCACACAGCCUUUUUCUUUUGGUCUAUCAUUUUUUCAUCCUUAAGUUGUCUGUAUCUGCAUGUUUCCUAGAUACACACAGGCUCAUCUCUCAAAAGAGGGGGUAUGGUCAUCCAUGAGCUGAACAAAGUUGCAUCAAACCAUGCUCUUGGAGCAGGAGGAUUGAGAACCAAUUUAUGGAUGCAGUUUUAUUUCAUAUCUUUGUCAAAAGAAAGGCUAUUCAGGCUGAGCACAUUUUGCCAAGGGAAUUCUGGAUUGUCCAGAAUUUUUGCACAUCUUUCAGCAUUAUUGAGGGUCAAAUACACAUCUACUGUAUACUGUGGAUUCAAAUUUUUCUGUGUACAUGUUAUUGCCAGUACAUAAUUAAAUGUGUAAAUAACAGAAAGCUCCCAUCACAAUUUUAGAUUCGCUUGGAAACACACAUGGUCAAGCCAGAUACCUUUCUUCUGUUAAAACAAACAAACAAACAAACAAACAACUCCAAAGCGACCCAUUGUAAUAAAAAUAUUUUCAUUAAGGGAAUUGGAAGAAACAUCACUCUUACAAAUGAAUAAUUGUCUGGUUUAAAAUAUAUGUAUUUAGGUUUCCGUGAUGCCAUCACAUUCUUCCUCCCUUCCAUUUCAUUCUGCACUUCCGUGGAAUAAAAAUCUGCCAAUAAUUCCACAGUGAACAUCCUAAAAUUUCCUCCCUGCUGGAGGGGUGAGUCUCCACAAGUCUCUCCUGGAGUGUUUGCCUUGAGAUGGAAGGGUUUUCUGUUUUCUUGUCCUGCUUGCUCAGCCCUGCUUGUCCUUCAUGUGCAGAAUCUCCCCAGGGUCGCUGGCAGUCAUUUUGCAGUUUUACAAACUUGGCAAUUGACCUUUCUUUCUAACCCAGGGCAAGGACUGCCACAGUUCCACAGGAGAUAAAAAGCCAUGUGCAGAUCCACGUGUUCAAGAGCAGUGUCACUCCUAUAUUUCUGCUUGCUCAGGACUCCUCAGUAUACAGAGUAUAUGUAUGACAAAACUUUGCUGUUGUUCUGGUCUGUUUAUUUCCAGGAAUGCAAUCCAAAGCGGUCUGAGAACUGAUCAGUGCUGCACUUGGCAUGAACGUAAGGGCACAUCUGUAUACCUCAAAAUUUAGAAAACUGUGGAGAAAAACAGUGAAGGAAACACCAGCAUUUGUAGCUGUUGCUGAGCAGAGCUGUACAGAGCCAAGAACAUACAGUUUUCCCUGCAAUCUUGCCAGUGAGGAAUAGAUCAAAGAUGCUGGGAGUGGGGGACUGAGCCAACAACCACAUAGAGCUAAACUACCUGUCAACUUAAACCACAGCACUUCGGAGAAACAAAACCAGCAGCUCCGAUGAUCAGAGCCAAGCAACCCUAGAAUGUGCAAGAAGGUUCAAAGGAAGGAAAUUAAUGGUGGAAAGGCAGUACUCCUGGGAUGGAGGUAGCUGGAAACUACAGAAGAAUCUGUGCUGAACACAGGUCCAUGGAGGCUAUCUGCAAAAUUAGCGUGCAAACUGGAGCAGCAGUGAGAUGUGGUGUUGGAUUUGUUAUUACUUUCUUUGGCAGAAGGCAUAGAGAAGCUACACUCUCAAUAGCAGGAAUGCAAUCCAAAGCGGUCUGAGAACUGAUCAGUGCUGCACUUGGCAUGAACGUAAGGGCACAUCUGUAUACCUCAAAAUUUAGAAAACUGUGGAGAAAAACAGUGAAGGAAACACCAGCAUUUGUAGCUGUUGCUGAGCAGAGCUGUACAGAGCCAAGAACAUACAGUUUUCCCUGCAAUCUUGCCAGUGAGGAAUAGAUCAAAGAUGCUGGGAGUGGGGGACUGAGCCAACAACCACAUAGAGCUAAACUACCUGUCAACUUAAACCACAGCACUUCGGAGAAACAAAACCAGCAGCUCCGAUGAUCAGAGCCAAGCAACCCUAGAAUGUGCAAGAAGGUUCAAAGGAAGGAAAUUAAUGGUGGAAAGGCAGUAC